AAGAUCAAUGAUGAUGAUGAUAAAUGAGAAGUAUCUGAUGAUGACCCUCAUGUGGCACUGACACUCCAGACCCCCGGCCGACUUCAAACUGACCCAAAGACGACUCUGCGACCUCUGAACAUGUAGCAACUUGAGCGGAUGAAUUUAUGGAUUAUGAAUCAGCUUCAUAAAGACGAAUGGAGGACGUUAUGAGACGGUUGCGGGUGGACUGGUGUUUACAUGGUCCGUGGGAGCUGGAAGUCCACAGCUGUGUCGCGACUGCAGUGCUUUUAUUUGUCUCAUACCUGCAGAUAUGCAGCCUCAAUGGAUGGCAUCUGGGAAUAAGUAGAGGAACCUUCUACAGGCC